UUCAUUGUCGUCUAUUGGUUAGGAUGCAAACUUCACACGCUUGAGAUCGAGGGUUCGACCCCCUCCUCUGAUA
rfam:Phytophthora ramorum strain Pr102 Scaffold187 genomic scaffold, whole genome shotgun sequence.